rnacentral:misc_RNA from 1 species
GAUGAAGAACGUAGCGAAAUGCGAUAAGUAAUGUGAAUUGCAGAAUUCAGUGAAUCAUCGAAUCUUUGAACGCACAUUGCGCCCAUUAGUAUUCUAGUGGGCAUGCCUGUUCGAGCGUCAUUAAGUCCACUUAAGCCCCGCUUAGUGUUGGGAGACUGCUCCAGCGGUGCUACCCUGUAGCUACCCUGCAGCUCCUCAAAGACAGCGGCGGAGUUGUGGUAUCCUCUGAGCUUAGUAACUUGUUCUAGCUUUCGAGUACACCACUUCCCCUGCCGUAAAACCCUUAAUUUUUAAUGGUUGACCUCGGAUCAGGUAGGAAUACCCGCUGAACUUAAGCAUAUCAAUAAGCGGAGGA